GAGAGAGAGAGAGACUGGGUGAGAAGAAGGGGAAGGAAAUGAGGGUGGUGAGGUAAGAGAAGGGAAAGGACAAAAUCUCGAGUUGAGGCAAAUUCAAGCAAGAGAAGGGGAAACAAAUAGACUGAAAUUCAGGGGCUUAGAUUGGGAGGUGUUUACUCAUUUAUCUGUCUUGUUGGAUACAUUAAGGGGAUUUCAGGUGGGACAAUGUCAAGGCCUCUCCAUCGAGGUGGGGGGCGGUUUUCACCGAAUAGCCAUGGUAUCUGGGAUGAUGAUUCUCAGAUGAAAGAUAAAUUAGAGAAGGAAGAUGUUGAUAGAAAGAGUCCAAAUGCUGAUCAGACUUAUUUAUCCAUUAGACAGCCCUUUCGUUUUCUUCUCACGGACAAUUCAUCUUCUAAGCAUGGUUUAAUGGAGAAUGGAUUUGUUUCAGACCCAUUUAGUCCUGGAGUACUAAGAAAUAGACAUAAGCGCACUUUGCUUUUGCUGAGGUUAAGCUUAGUUGUAAUUGUAAUUCUUGCUCUUACUGGAUCCUUUUGGUGGACAAUCUCAAUAACAACUUCAUCCAGAGGUCAAGUAUAUCGAGGGUACAGGCGCCUGCAGCAGCAAUUAGUUUCUGACUUGGUUGAUGUUGGAAAGCUUUCUCUUGGUUCUACAAGGUUAAAAGAUUUGGAGUAUUGUUCUCCAGAGUCUGAGAAUUAUGUUCCUUGCUUCAAUGUUUCAGAAAAUCUUGCUUUGGGGAUUUCCACAGGCGAUGAAUAUGACCGCCACUGUGGGCCAAGUUCCAGACAAAGUUGUUUGGUUCUUCCACCUGUCAAUUACAAGAUUCCGCUCCGGUGGCCUUGGGGAAGAGAUCUUAUCUGGGUGGCAAAUAUAAAUAUUACUGCACAGGAGGUUCGAUCCUCUGGAAGUUUGACCAAAAGGAUGAUGAUGUAUGAUGAAGAUCAAAUAUCCUUUCGUUCGGCAUCUCCUGGGUAUGAUGACAUGGAAGAUUAUGCUCACCAAAUUGCUGAAAUGGUUGGGCUAAGAAAUGAAUCCAACUUCAUACAAUCUGGAGUUCGAACUAUAUUGGACAUAGGCUGUGGCUAUGGUAACCUUGGGGCACAUCUUUUUUCCUAUGAAUUGUUGACAAUGUGCAUUGCAAAUUAUGAAGCUUCUGGCAGUCAAGUUCAGCUCACCCUGGAAAGAGGUCUUCCUGCAAUGAUUAGUUCAUUUACUUCAAAACAGUUGCCGUAUCCAUCUCUUUCUUUUGACAUGAUACACUGUGCGGGAUGUGGCAUUGAUUGGGAUCAGAAAGAUGGUAUUCUUUUAGUUGAAGUUGAUAGGGUUUUAAGGCCUGGUGGAUAUUUUGUCUGGACUUCGCAACUGACAAGUUCUCAGCAGUACCUUCGCAAAAAAGAGAACCAGAAAGAAUGGAACUUUGUGCAUGGUUUUGCAAAAAAUCUCUGCUGGGAUAUGUUGUCACAGCAAGUUGACACUGUUGUUUGGAAAAAGACUAGUAAAAAGAACUGUUAUUCUACUAGGAAAUCUGGUUCUGGUCCCUCUCUCUGCAACAGGGGCCGUGAUGUUGAAUCCCCCUAUUAUCGACCGCUUCAGGGAUGUAUUGGAGGGACUCAGAGCCGGCGAUGGAUUCCUAUUGCAGAAAGGACUAAAUGGCCAGCAAGGACUAGAUUAAACUCAAAUGAACUUGCAAUUCAUGGUUUAAAUUCAGAUGACUUUGCGGAGGAUACGCUCAACUGGAACUCAGCAGUUCGGGAUUAUUGGUCUCUUCUCUCACCACUAAUAUUUUCUGAUCAUCCAAAGAGACCUGGGGAUGAAGAUCCUUCUCCACCUUUUAACAUGGUUAGAAAUGUGUUGGACAUGAAUGCUCACUUUGGUGGAUUCAAUGCUGCAUUACUAGAAGCCAAGAAAUCUGUGUGGGUCAUGAAUGUGAUUCCCACAACUGGAAACAACCACCUUCCUUUAAUUCUGGAUAGGGGAUUUGUUGGUGUUUUACAUGACUGUUAAUCCUCAAAUGUUCUUCUUGCCCAUUUGUAUUUCGCCUUCUUGUUGUAGUCCUUAAUGCAAGGAGAGGAUUCCAUAACAGAAUGUUGGACAGAUACCUAGUUGCUUGUGCGGUACUAGUGAUAGUAGAAAUUUUGACGUCCUCUCAAGUCUCACAUGACUAAGACUUCAAAAUUUUGGUUCAGGAGCUCUUAUUAUUCUUCUCCUAGUCAAUACACUAUCAUGCUUCUUCCUAAGUUCUGUGAUUUACUUAUUAUGUUCUUUGUCCUCAAGGUGUGAAGCAUUCCCGACAUACCCAAGAACUUAUGACCUUGUGCAUGGAGAUGGACUUUUGUCACUCGAAUUUGGUGAGAAGCGAAGAUGUGAAAUGCUAGAUGUGUUCAUCGAGAUGGAUCGUAUACUUCGUCCAGAGGGUUGGGUUAUACUACGAGACACGGCUACCCUAAUCGAGUCUGCAAGAACUCUCACCACACUCUUGAAAUGGGAUGCACGUGUGGUAGAGGUUGACAACAACAGUGAUGAGCGACUCCUAAUCUGCCAGAAAGCUUUUGUAAAGAGGCCGGCAAUGUAAUUCAGGAUUGGCAAGAAGCCAACGUUCAUAGACGAACCUUGAGACAAAGUUAUGUUCGUCGUAAAGUUCUACAAGAAUUGUGGUAGAGUUCCACAGAGUUGGUGGAAUUGAAAGUUUUGAUUAGAAAAAACAGAAUGCAGUAAAAGCAGGAACAAUUUUUCUGCUUAGGAGGGAGGAACCACAGGUCCUCAAAAUCCUAUGGAGCCGUAAGGUAAACAUAGGGCCAUGUAAUUACACAGCCUGAGGCACAGCAUGUUCAGAGAAGUAUAGGGAUAUACUUAAAAAAAAAUUUCUUUGUGAUGUCUCAUUUCAUCCAUACAACCACAUUGAUAAAAUUAUAAUGUGAAGAUUUGCAGAAUAAGCAAAGUUGAUUUUUUCAGUCAUUGUAUAGUAUGCCCAGCUGCUCCGUUCGCUUGACAUCAUUCUUUCAUUUGGUUUGGACAUUCUUUUCCUUUGCUAAAUGUAUUCACUCGAAUGUCUUGUCUUGGUGAAAAGUUUUAUACUAUCAA